GAUGAACGCUGGCGGCGUGCCUAAUACAUGCAAGUCGAGCGAACAGACGAGGAGCUUGCUCCUCUGACGUUAGCGGCGGACGGGUGAGUAACACGUGGAUAACCUACCUCUAAGACUGGGAUAACUUCGGGAAACCGGAGCUACUACCGGAUAAUAUAUUGAACCGCAUGGUUCAAUAGUGAAAGACGGUUUUGCUGUCACUUAUAGAUGGUUCCGCGCCGCAUUAGCUAGUUGGUAAGGUAACGGCUUACCAAGGCGACGAUGCGUAGCCGACCUGAGAGGGUGAUCGGCCACACUGGAACUGAGACACGGUCCAGACUCCUACGGGAGGCAGCAGUAGGGAAUCUUCCGCAAUGGGCGAAAGCCUGACGGAGCAACGCCGCGUGAGUGAUGAAGGUCUUCGGAUCGUAAAACUCUGUUAUUAGGGAAGAACAAAUGUGUAAGUAACUAUGCACGUCUUGACGGUACCUAAUCAGAAAGCCACGGCUAACUACGUG
rnacentral:rRNA from 1 species